rnacentral:lncRNA from 1 species
GCAAAGUGGCCACCCAGGGACGCCUGGCACAGGGACAAUGCCACCUGCAUAAAGAAAAACACAGUGUUUUAUGAGACAAAUACAUCAAUUAUUUCCAGGAAUGUGUACAACAUGCUACACUAAGUAAAACAAUAUGAUUCAGAUUUGAAGAAAAUGAGCCAGAGUGGCCAUAAAGGACAAAAAAUAUUGCCUGGAGAAGUUACUUGAUUAGCCUUUUAUUCAUUGGCUCAUGAUUCAACAAAGGUCACUCAUCACUGGCUAGGACCUCCCCUAAAAGCCUACUCAUACUAGCUCCUCACUUAAAUUGUCAUGUGGGAUGACUGGUAAUCCUAAAUUCCCAUCUCAGAGAUUCUAAUGAGCUGAAAUUGAAAAUGAUUAUCCUAUUAAUUACAGUGUAAGCAUUCAUGGAAGUAGUGACAACCUGAGCCUAAAUGAAAUUGGAUGUCAAGAACUAAUGUGUACCUCUCCAGAAACAACUCAGAUGGCAAAUUUCUUUAAACAUAAGUAUGAAGACCCUACAGAGUCCUAAUCAAGAUUUCUUUAACCAGGUUACUAGACUGACAAGGAACCUCAGUCCAGAUCCAGAUGGAGAGAACUGCCACUCAUUGAGAGACCCUGAUUUUGAGAUGGGCAUUUUGGUGGUUUCCCUGGAAGAGGGAGUGGGUGUGCUCUGCCAAGGGUGUGCUCUGCCAACAGUACCAUUUGGAGCUCCAAAGGGAGAAUGUGGUGCUACAGCUUCAGUUCUUCACCAAUGAUUUUCUUUCAUCCAGUGUAUAUAGCUCAGGUCUCCUUCCCAGAGGCCCUGGCUGUGACAGGUGGCCAUCUGAAUCAGCUCCUGCACACAGAACAUGAACAGGAGGACUGACAUGUAACAUCUCAUAUGUAUGUUACUCCAAAGACUUUUCUGGCUUUUGCUAGACAGAGACUAGCUUCACUGGAAGCCAUGGAUUAAAAGUAGCAGAGUCACAUGCUGGAAGGAGCAUGGGUACUUGGAUCACAAAUAAAGAGCCAUCACUGGUCA